rnacentral:lncRNA from 1 species
AAACUGCUUCACUUCUGAGAGACCAGGGCCCAUUCCAGUAGCUUUAGGGAUGAUGUCCAUGACCCAAACUUGGAGGAGGACAAGUGAAUGUAUCUUAUAAAGGAGAAGGCUGGGAAGCCAAGGCGGAGAAGGACAUGUGAGACUGGGCAGGCUUCAGGGGUCUGAACCAACUCCAGCCCAGCUGUCAUCUGUGGGAAGUGGCUUUUGGUUGACCAGUGGUACUUCCCAGUGUCAGCACGUGUGUUGUGUCAGCAGCUCAGACCUUGCGCUGAGGGGCCCCUGUCCUCAGCCAUCUUUCAUCUUGGAAAAACUCUCUGGUGUAAAGAGCAGGGAGGUGCCUUGCUGAAGUGCCCGCUCUGAAUGAAGAAGAACUGGGUUCUGCAGUCUGUCCACAGUAAGAAGACUGUAUGUGAGCACAGUCUCCAUGUUCACUGUGCCUCAUGCCAUCCCUGAUAUCAUGGAGGAAAUGAAUGGUCAUUUAAAAAUCCUCAUUGGCUAAAGAGCUGGUGGUUUAAAUGAAUGCAUCUAAUUGCAAACUGUGAAGGGCUGGUCCUAGUAUUAAGAAGAUGGAUGAUUCUGUGAAGGGAAUGUGCUAAGACUUGUUUGUUGAAAAUGGAAUUAUUAAUGGCUUGUCAGUAAAGUUAAGAAUGCCUUAAGUCAUUCCUCUCUUACUCUAUUCAUAGAAGAAAUAAAACAGAUGAAUUUAUAAAGG